AAUUAAAUGAAGACUUUGAUGAUCACUGAUACAGAUAUGAAAUGCACUAUUCAGGUGUUAAGAUGUGUGGACACUUUAUGCAUAACUUAGGGGCUUUUCAAGGGUCAUUUUAACUGUAGGAAUUUUUUCUUACCUGUUGACAUCAGAAUCCUUGCUUAAGAUGCAACUCCACUGUAAGCCAUUGAGUGACAGUGGAUCUAGGGUCUUCAGAGGAUCUCCUCAAACCUGUUCUACAGUUGGACUCAAGAUGGCACACCCUAACUACGGAGAGGAAGACAGCCGUAGAUGAAAAGGAGACCCAUCGAAGCGAAUCCAGCAUAAAGGAAGAAGGCUCCUGCAAUGGAAAAUACCAUAUAUGUGAAGACUUACAUUGGAAACGGGACGAUUUUAACUUCUGUUUCUGAUCAAUAAUGCAUGGCUGUGGUCUGAAAUGGAACCAAAAAUUUGCUUACAGCUUGGUUUAUUUGGUUUACUCUAAUUGUUUUAAUUCUGUGAAUAUAAUACAGUUUGUCUUUCUAAACUCAA